rnacentral:rRNA from 1 species
UACAGAGGUCCCGAGCGUUGUUCGGAUUCACUGGGCGUAAAGGGUGCGUAGGUGGCCUAAAAAGUUUGAUGUGAAAGCUCAGGGCUUAACCCUGAAAUGGCAUUGAAUACUGUUGGGCUGGAGGUUUGGAGGGGGGACUGGAAUUCUUGGUGUAGCAGUGAAAUGCGUAGAUAUCAAGAGGAACACCAGUGGCGAAGGCGAGUCCCUGGACAACACCUGACACUGAGGCGCGAAAGCGUGGGGAGCGAACAGG